rnacentral:misc_RNA from 1 species
UUUUUGACUUGCUUUGCAUGGCAGGCUCCCUGCACGUAUGUGCGGCCAACUGUCAUGGGGCGGUCUUUUCACUAUCCCUUUGAUAUGCAUUACUGCUGUCUUGGGAUUUUUACCAUUGGUUGCCUGUGUGGUUCUACCCUUGUCGGUAGCACGAAUGUCCCGUUUUUGUAUGUUUAGCUUGCUCUGUUGAUGCUGUUCAUCAACGUGCGGCCGAGGUGUCAACAAAUUCCAUGUGUCGCCAUUCGNNNNNGCCUCNNUGCCCNNNUNGGNNGUAUACGGGCUUCUAGCUUUGUAGRCCUUGCGAGGUUGCCCUUGCACAGUUCAUAGCUCCCGAUGUGUCUCAGUCRUGUCGUGGUUUCUACGUCAUGUUGGGAGCCCUCUUACACAGAGCUUGACUAUGUGCUUGUGGCGUACCUCUSKGACCGAAUGACUUGCGAUUGCCGNUUUUUGUUGUCAYAAGG